UGGGGAAUUUUGGACAAUGGGCGAAAGCCUGAUCCAGCAAUGCCGCGUGUGUGAAGAAGGCCUUCGGGUUGUAAAGCACUUUUGUCCGGAAAGAAAUCCUUGGCUCUAAUACAGUCGGGGGAUGACGGUACCGGAAGAAUAAGCACCGGCUAACUACGUGCCAGCAGCCGCGGUAAUACGUAGGGUGCAAGCGUUAAUCGGAAUUACUGGGCGUAAAGCGUGCGCAGGCGGUUUGCUAAGACCGAUGUGAAAUCCCCGGGCUCAACCUGGGAACUGCAUUGGUGACUGGCAGGCUAGAGUAUGGCAGAGGGGGGUAGAAUUCCACGUGUAGCAGUGAAAUGCGUAGAGAUGUGGAGGAAUACCGAUGGCGAAGGCAGCCCCCUGGGCCAAUACUGACGCUCAUGCACGAAAGCGUGGGGAGCAAAACAGGAUUAGAUACCCCUGGUAGUCCACGCCCUAAAACGAUGUCAACUAGUUGUUGGGGAUUCAUUUCCUUAGUAACGUAGCUAACGCGUGAAGUUGACCGCCUGGGGAGUACGGUCGCAAGAUUAAAACUUAAAGGAAUUGACGGGGUCAUAGCUGUUUCCU
rnacentral:rRNA from 1 species